UUAUACGACCGUAAAUAGUUUUAUCGUUAACGCGCGUGUGUACGCAGAGAUCUUCGACGUGCGUACGUAACGCGUGUACCAAUUUAUUUCGGCGUCUUUCACGUGGGCAUUUUUUUUUAUUUUCUUUUUUUAUCUUUGUUUUUUUUUUCAAUCAUACCUGCAUACCUCGCGGUACACGCCCCGCGCCCAAAAACACUCACGGCGAAUACUGGGCAGGAUAUCAUUUUCAAUUUUCACCAGUUUCCGAUCGGCGUUGGAAAAGUGGUUUUUUUUUUUCGUCACUACUUUUCAAACGGAACACCCUGUAUCGCGAAAAAUAAAGAACAAAAAACGAAUUGAAGUCGCGAGGUACCGCGGAUGAGUCAAGUUUGCAUAUUACGUACGCACGUACACAACCAGGUAUGUACCCGGUGGUUCGAUGAAUGGAGAAAAACAUAGCCGAUAAAAAGUGAAGAGGUGUAAUAACGAUGGCGCCGUUUCGUUCCUUUUUCUCAUUAUUUUUUUUUUUUUUUUUUUUGCCAAGGGUGCAGUAUAAGAGCGAAACGAGAAGUGGAGAGAAGAAGAACAUCCUUCGGCACGCGUUCCACAAUGCGAUGAACGAAAUAAUGUAAUCCGUAUGUACCGUAUGUUAAGGAAAAAAUAAAUUGAAAAGUGGAAUACACGAUAAGCAACGUGUACGACUCGACUGCGCAACGCCGGAUAAAGAAAAUGUU